rnacentral:lncRNA from 1 species
CCGUGUUUCUCUUUUAUUUUUCCUUGCGAAUUUCGCGCUGUGUAUAUAUUUUUUUAUUUUUAUGAAAACACCGACCAUCUACGACAAGAUAUGGAGUCUGGAGAGCGGCUGUCCACCCCAUCGUCAGCCCCAUCCUCCCUUCACAUGGCCUCCUCUUCAGGCAGCUCCUCCCCUGCGCCACCCCAGACACCCUCGACCAGAUGCAGCCCAGCCCCUAACCCUGCAGGCAGUUCCCCUCUCACCACUUGUGGUAUGUACACACACCGAAAAACUUCUCUUCAGAGCUAAUUAAAUGUACAAAUAGUUGCUAUUUUAUUUCUAUGUCAGUAUGUUGUAUUAAUCUGGCCAAAU